rnacentral:rRNA from 1 species
AGAGCGAACGCUGGCGGCAGGCCUAACACAUGCAAGUCGAGCGCGUGUAGCAAUACACGAGCGGCAGACGGGAGAGUAACACGUGGGAACGCGCCCUUUGGUUCGGAAUAACUCAUGGAAACUUGAGCUAAUACCGGAUAAGCCCUUACGGGGAAAGAUUUAUCGCCAAAGGAACGGCCCGCGUCCGAUUAGCUAGUUGGUGAGGUAACGGCUCACCAAGGCGACGAUCGGUAGCUGGUCUAAGAGGAUGAUCAGCCUCACUGGGACUGAGACACGGCCCAGACUCCUACGGGAGGCAGCAGUGGGGAAUAUUGGACAAUGGGCGCAAGCCUGAUCCAGCCAUGCCGCGUGGGUGAUGAAGGCCCUAGGGUUGUAAAGCCCUUUCGGCGGGGAAGAUAAUGACGGUACCCGCAGAAGAGCCCGGCUAACUUCGUGCCAGCAGCCGC